AGACCCGAAACCCGGUGAUCUAGCCAUGGGCAGGUUGAAGGUUGGGUAACACUAACUGGAGGACCGAACCGACUAAUGUUGAAAAAUUAGCGGAUGACCUGUGGCUGGGGGUGAAAGGCCAAUCAAACCGGGAGAUAGCUGGUUCUCCCCGAAAGCUAUUUAGGUAGCGCCUCGUGAAUUCAUCUCCGGGGGUAGAGCACUGUUUCGGCUAGGGGGCCAUCCCGGCUUACCAACCCGAUGCAAACUGCGAAUACCGGAGAAUGUUAUCACGGGAGACACACGGCGGGUGCUAACGUCCGUCGUGAAGAGGGAAACAACCCAGACCGCCAGCUAAGGUCCCAAAGUCAUGGUUAAGUGGGAAACGAUGUGGGAAGGCCCAGACAGCCAGGAUGUUGGCUUAGAAGCAGCCAUCAUUUAAAGAAAGCGUAAUAGCUCACUGGUCGAGUCGGCCUGCGCGGAAGAUGUAACGGGGCUAAACCAUGCACCGAAGCUGCGGCAGCGACACUAUGUGUUGUUGGGUAGGGGAGCGUUCUGUAAGCCUGUGAAGGUGGCCUGUGAGGGUUGCUGGAGGUAU
rnacentral:rRNA from 1 species